GUGGCCGCUCAGAUGGCACACAUACUAAACUUGGAAGGAUCCAGAGGAGACUACCAUGGCCCCUGCACCAAGAUGACAUACAAAUUUGUGAAGUGUUCCACAUUUUU